GACGAACGCUGGCGGCGUGCUUAACACAUGCAAGUCGAACGGAAAGGCCCUGCUUUUGUGGGGUGCUCGAGUGGCGAACGGGUGAGUAACACGUGAGUAACAUGCCCUUGACUUUGGGAUAACUUCAGGAAACAGGGGCUAUUACCGGAUAGGAGCUCUUGCUGCACGGUGGGGGUUGGAAAGUUUCGGCGGUUGGGGAUGGACUAGCGGGUUAUCAGCUUGUUGGUGGGGUAGUGGCUGUCCAAGGCUUCGACGGGUAGCCGGCCUGAGAGGGUGACCGGCCUCCAUGGGCCUACGGUACGGCCCAGACUCCUACGGUAGGCAGCAGUGGGGAAUAUUGCGCAAUGGGCGGAAGCCUGAUGCAGCAACGCCGCGUGCGGAAUGACGUCCUUCGGGUUGUAAACCACUUUCGCCUUAGACGAAGCGUGAGUGACGGUAAUGAGUAAAGAAGCACCGGCUAACUACGUG
rnacentral:rRNA from 1 species